AGUGAACGCUGGCGGUAGGCCUAACACAUGCAAGUCGAACGGCAGCACAGUAAGAGCUUGCUCUUACGGGUGGCGAGUGGCGGACGGGUGAGGAAUACAUCGGAAUCUACUUUUUCGUGGGGGAUAACGUAGGGAAACUUACGCUAAUACCGCAUACGACCUACGGGUGAAAGCAGGGGAGCUUCGGACCUUGCGCGAUUGAAUGAGCCGAUGUCGGAUUAGCUAGUUGGCGGGGUAAAGGCCCACCAAGGCGACGAUCCGUAGCUGGUCUGAGAGGAUGAUCAGCCACACUGGAACUGAGACACGGUCCAGACUCCUACGGGAGGCAGCAGUGGGGAAUAUUGGACAAUGGGCGCAAGCCUGAUCCAGCCAUACCGCGUGGGUGAAGAAGGCCUUCGGGUUGUAAAGCCCUUUUGUUGGGAAAGAAAGGCAGCAGGUUAAUACCCCGCUGUUCUGACGGUACCCAAAGAAUAAGCACCGGCUAACUUCGUG
rnacentral:rRNA from 1 species